GCAAGUCGAACGGUAACAGCAGAGCUUGCUCUGGCUGACGAGUGGCGGACGGGUGAGUAACGCGUAGGAAUCUACCCAGUAGCGGGGGAUAGCCCGGGGAAACCCGGAAUAAUACCGCAUACGCCCCACGGGGGAAAGAGGGCCUCUUCUUGAAAGCUCUCACUAUUGGAGGAGCCUGCGUUGGAUUAGCUAGUUGGUGGGGUAAAGGCUCACCAAGGCGACGAUCCGUAGCUGGUCUGAGAGGAUGAUC
rnacentral:rRNA from 1 species